UACGUAGGUCCCGAGCGUUGUCCGGAUUUAUUGGGCGUAAAGCGAGCGCAGGUGGUUUAUUAAGUCUGGUGUAAAAGGCAGUGGCUCAACCAUUGUAUGCAUUGGAAACUGGUAAACUUGAGUGCAGGAGAGGAGAGUGGAAUUCCAUGUGUAGCGGUGAAAUGCGUAGAUAUAUGGGGGAACACCGGUGGCGAAAGCGGCUCUCUGGCCUGUAACUGACACUGAGGCUCGAAAGCGUGGGGAGCAAACAGG
rnacentral:rRNA from 1 species